rnacentral:rRNA from 1 species
AGCGAACGCUGGCGGCAGGCCUAACACAUGCAAGUCGAACGAACUCUUCGGAGUUAGUGGCGGACGGGUGAGUAACACGUGGGAACGUGCCUUUAGGUUCGGAAUAACUCAGGGAAACUUGUGCUAAUACCGAAUGUGCCCUUCGGGGGAAAGAUUUAUCGCCUUUAGAGCGGCCUGCGUCUGAUUAGCUAGUUGGGGAGGUAAAGGCUCACCAAGGCGACGAGCAGUAGCUGGUCUGAGAGGAAGAUCAGCCACAUUGGAACGGAGACACGGGCCAGACUCCGGAGGGAGGCAGCAGUGGGGAAUAUUGGACAAGGGGCGAAAGCCGGAUCCAGCCAUGGCGCGUGUGGGAAGAAGGUCUUCGGAUUGGAAAGCACGUUAAGUGGGGAGGAAGGGCAGUAAGUUAAUACCUUGCUGUGUGGACGUUACCAACAGAAGAAGCACCGGCUAACUUCGUG